rnacentral:rRNA from 1 species
AGGACGAACGCUGGCGGCGUGCCUAACACAUGCAAGUCGAACGAGGUAUAUUUUCGGAAUAUGCUUAGUGGCGGACGGGUGAGUAACGCGUGAACAAUCUGCCCUGUACAAAGGAAUAGCCUCGGGAAACCGGGAUUAAAACCAUAUGACACUUUGAAACCGCAUGGAGUUGAAGUCAAAUUGAAUAAGAGGUAUGGGAUGAGUUCGCGUCUGAUUAGCUAGUUGGUAAGGUAACGGCUUACCAAGGCGACGAUCAGUAGCCGGCCUGAGAGGGUGAACGGCCACACUGGAACUGAGACACGGUCCAGACUCCUACGGGAGGCAGCAGUGGGGAAUAUUGCACAAUGGAGGAAAAACCUCUGAUGCAGCGACGCCGCGUGAGUGAAGAAGGUCUUCGGAUACGUAAAACUCUGUCCUUGGUGAAAGAAAAGGACGGUAGCCAAGGAGGAACGCCCGGCUAACUACGUGCCAGCCGCCGC